rnacentral:rRNA from 1 species
AUAGAACCUGAAACCGUGUACGUACAAGCAGUAGGAGCACCUUCGUGGUGUGACUGCGUACCUUUUGUAUAAUGGGUCAGCGACUUAUAUUCAGUGGCAAGGUUAACCGUAUAGGGGAGCCGUAGCGAAAGCGAGUCUUAACUGGGCGCUCAGUCUCUGGAUAUAGACCCGAAACCGGGUGAUCUAGCCAUGGGCAGGUUGAAGGUUGAGUAACAUCAACUGGAGGACCGAACCGACUAAUGUUGAAAAAUUAGCGGAUGACUUGUGGCUAGGGGUGAAAGGCCAAUCAAACUCGGAGAUAGCUGGUUCUCCCCGAAAGC